UACGUAGGGGGCAAGCGUUGUCCGGAAUUAUUGGGCGUAAAGCGCGCGCAGGCGGUUCAUUAAGUCUGGUGUUUAAGGCUAGGGCUCAACCCUGGUUCGCACUGGAAACUGUUGGACUUGAGUACAGAAGAGGAAAGUGGAAUUCCACGUGUAGCGGUGAAAUGCGUAGAGAUGUGGAGGAACACCAGUGGCGGAAGGCGAACUUUCUGGGUCUGGUAACUGAC
rnacentral:rRNA from 1 species